CUCAGCGUGAGGCCGGUGCUUAGAAAGAAAAGAGUGGUCCGAUGCAAAAAGCUGAAAAGUUGAAGCGAAAAAUAGAGAUGCAUGUGUACCGAAGUUAUUAUUUUCUUUUCUUUGAUGAGGCUCAUUAGUGGUGCCUUACAUUGGAGAGAAAAAAAUAAGGGCCCAAGCGGGUUGCGUCGCCAGCUCACCUACCGUUGUCGCUUAUACCUUACCACAGGGAAAGGAGGGCGUGUAGCGGAUAACGGCUUUGGCACCUACUACCUAUAUUUUAUUUUAUCAAUGCCAUGUGUUCUUUCUUGCGAUUAAGACUCCCCAAACCAUCCGUGAGUAAGAUCCUUCUAUGGAGAAACUACAACUGUAUCUUAACAUUUGGUAUCAGAAAAUCACACACCACCCUUCACUGGGUCACGUCGUCUAGGCUCAUCAUCUUCGCCAAGUCCACAACCAGAUCAAAGCCAUGGAACACUCGUUCAAGGAGUACCUCGAGAAGCUCAACACAUCCCUCGACGAGAUCCACACCAAUCAGUGUUCCAACACGAAUCUCAUCAAGAUCGGUCCUCCAAGAUCGAUGACUUGGUAGCAUGAUGCCUCAAUCUCAAGAAGUGUGUGGCGGACCUCCGCAUGGUGGCGGCCACGCUCCAAUAAAGCCGCUUGACGUCGACAACAACUUCAUCAGGUGAGGAGGUGAGGGUUGAUGUCGUCACACCCCACCGUUGAGACUCUCUCAGCAUCGGCGACGACGUGCCCAUGGCUCCCCACGGGUCUAUGGAUCAAGACGUUGCACAUCUACUAGGGGGUGGCGUUGCUGUCCUCGCCUACAUCGAUGCUGCUCCUGGCCAAAGGGCCACAGGGGAGAAAUCAAACCCAAGAAGGGAAGGAGAGAAGGGAGAAAUUACUUGGUACAACAGCAGAGGAAUGCUUGCUUGCCAUCGCCUUCAGAUCCAGGAGGAGCACAGCAGCAGAGGGGCAGAUCCAGGGGAGGAGCACAAAAGCAGAGGAGGACAGCAAGGGAGGAGCACAACAGCAGAGGGGCGGAUCCAGCGGAGGAAGAUGAGCGGAAUGCUCCUGGCCACCGCCGCCGCCGGCGGCGGGGGGUCAGUGGUUGGCGGCGGCGGCCUGGUCCCAGGUGAGGCGGGCAGGCGGCUCGUUGUGGAGGAGAUUGAAAAGCUAGGGUUGCCAGUUUCCCCUUCCGUGGGCUUCUUACUUAUCCCUUCAAAUUGAGUCGAUCGACUCAAACACGCUGACUAGUCUGGACUAGUCCACGACUAGUCGCUCCACCCCUCGACUCACAGAGCUAGUCUACACAAAGAACCUAGUUGACAAUCAAAUUGAGACAACUAAACUAUCACGUGACUAGUCAAGACUAGUUGUUAGACUCAUAAAGUCAAAUUUAUAGCUCAAAUGUGAUCCCAAGUUCAACAUAACAUGAACAAUUGCCACAAACAACUAAUGGCACAAACAAAAAGUUGCACAUAUUUUUGCUCAAUGCAAACCUUUUAUUUUUUUCCGAGAAAAGAAAGGACUUAUGCCUCGAUGCAUUUAUAGAAAGGAAACAAAGGGCUUAUGCCUCGAUGCAUUUAUAGAAAGAAAAAGAAAACCAACAGGGCCUAGCCACUGUGGCUUUUUACAUGGAACGGCCAAGACACUCACGCUGCCGCGCACAGGGCGCAAACGUGGCUAGCGGGCUGGGCACGCACCACUAGCCAACUGGUUGACGCCCCCUUCCUGAAUUUAUAGAUACAAGAUUUGUACCAACCCACACGACCCACAGAAACUAAGGAGGCUCAUGUGGAAACAGGGUAAGCCCAGUUGGACAAGCCAUUGACCAAAGAAGCGCCUGAGCCUUGAUCGUGUCAAUCACGUGCGACUUAACCCAAACCUUCACUUCACUUGUAACUUUCUAAUCGCGUCAAUCAAGCCAUUGACCAAAGAAGUUUGAACUAGAUGUUCUCAUUUAAAUAAACUUAGUUUCCCUGGAGGUUACAGAUGGCCCAACGAAUAUGUACAUGUAUAUGACAACGGAAGUAAAAUCAGUGUUAAAAAACCCAUAUAAAAUAUUCUUAAUAGUACAUUGUAUAUAAUGGACUUACUAAACAUAGCUACAACCAUCUUAUUAAAUUUAUAAUGGACUUACUAAACAUAGCUACAUUGUAUAUAAUGGACUUACUAAACAUAAUUGUUAUGCUUCUAGCAACCUGUUUACCUUCAUUUUCUCAGAACAAGUUGUCUAUCCACAUAAUAUUAACUAGUGUGGUGUCCCUUGUAUUGUGCCGUUGAUCCAUGUACGGUUCACAUGUCCGACAUUAUGUUUUAUUCAUAUCAACAGAUUAAUCUUUUCUCUUCC